rnacentral:rRNA from 1 species
AACGAACGCUGGCGGCAUGCCUAACACAUGCCAGUCGAACGAGACCUUCGGGUCUAGUGGCGCACGGGUGCGUAACGCGUGGGAACCUUCCCUUAGGUUCGGAAUAACUCUCAGAAAGGGGUGCUAUUACCGGAUAAUGUCUUCGGACCAAAGAUUUAUCGCCUUUGGAUGGGCCCGCGUUGGAUUAGCUAGUUGUUAGGGUAAAAGCCGACCAAGGCGACGAUCCAUAGCUGGUCUGAGAGAAUGAUCAGCCACACUGGGACUGAGACGCGGCCCAGACUCCUACGGGAGGCAGCAGUGGGGAAUAUUGGACAAUGGGCGAAAGCCUGAUCCAGCAAUGCCGCGUGAGUGAUGAAGGCCUUAGGGUUGUAAAGCUCUUUUACCCGGGAUGAUAAUGACAGUACCGGGAGAAUAAGCCCCGGCUAACUCCGUG